AACGAACGCUGGCGGCAGGCUUAACACAUGCAAGUCGAGCGGGCGCUUUCGGGCGUCAGCGGCGGACGGGUUAGUAACGCGUGGGAACGUGCCCUUUGCUUCGGAAUAGCCCUGGGAAACUGGGGGUAAUACCGGAUGUGCCCUGAGGGGGAAAGAUUUAUCGGCAAGGGAUCGGCCCGCGUCUGAUUAGGUAGUUGGUGUGGUAACGGCGCACCAAGCCGACGAUCGGUAGCUGGUUUGAGAGGAUGAUCAGCAACACUGGGACUGAGACGCGGCCCAGACUCCUACGGGAGGCAGCAGUGGGGAAUCUUAGACAAUGGGCGCAAGCCUGAUCUAGCCAUGCCGCGUGGGUGAUGAAGGCCUUAGGGUCGUAAAGCCCUUUCGCCGGGGAAGAUAAUGACGGUACCCGGUAAAGAAACCCCGGCUAACUCCGUGCCAGCCGCCGCCGUAA
rnacentral:rRNA from 1 species